UUCUCUGCAGCAGGUUCGGGUCGAACGCAGUGAGACAACGGAGCCGCUUGCGGCGACGGCCCGAAGGGCGAGGCGAAGCCGAGUCAUCCUGCACGACCCACCA
rnacentral:sRNA from 1 species